rnacentral:tRNA from 1 species
GGAGGAUAUAGUUCAGUAGUAGAACAUCUGCUUUGCAUGCAGAUGGUCUCUGGUUCUAUCCUCUACAUUUCCA